rnacentral:rRNA from 1 species
GUUGGCUUAGAAGCAGCCACCCUUGAAAGAGUGCGUAAUAGCUCACUGGUCAAGUGAUUCCGCGCCGACAAUGUAACGGGGCUCAAGCACGCCACCGAAGUUGUGGCAUUGACAUUUUUGGUAGGCCUUCGUGGUCCAGCCGUGUUGAUGGGUAGGAGAGCGUCGUGUCGCGAGUGAAGCGGCGGGGUGACCCAGCCGUGGACGCGACACGAGUGAGAAUGCAGGCAUGAGUAGCGAAAGACGUGUGAGAAACACGUCCUCCGAAAGACCAAGGGUUCCAGGGUCAAGCUAAUCUUCCCUGGGUAAGUCGGGACCUAAGGCGAGGCCGACAGGCGUAGUCGAUGGACAACGGGUUGAUAUUCCCGUACCGGCGAAGAACCGCCCAAGCUAAUCCAGUGGUGCUAAGAGUCCUAGCUCAGAAUUUUCCGGAUCCCUUCGGGGUGAUGGUUGUCUGUGUGAACGCUCGACCCCAUGCUGGUGCGGCUAGCGUAUUAACAGGUGUGACGCAGGAAGGUAGCCCAAGCCAGGCGAUGGUAGUCCUGGUGCAAGUGCGUAGGCCGAGUGAUAGGCAAAUCCGUCACUCAUACAGGCUGAGACACGAUGCGGAUAAAAAGUGGGUGAUCCUAUGCUGCCGAGAAAAGCAUCGACGCGAGGUUCUAGCUGCCCGUACCCCAAACCGACUCAGGUGGUCAGGUAGAGAAUACC